ACUCAAAGGAAUUGACGGGGGCCCGCACAAGCAGCGGAGCGUGUGGUUUAAUUCGACGCAACGCGGAGAACCUUACCAGGGCUUGACAUCCUCGGAACCUGGCUGAAAGGCUGGGGUGCCCGCAAGGGAGCCGGGAGACAGGUGCUGCAUGGCUGUCGUCAGCUCGUGUCGUGAGAUGUUGGGUUAAGUCCCGCAACGAGCGCAACCCUCGUGGCUAGUUAUGCUGUGUCUAGCCAGACUGCCGGGCGCAACCCGGAGGAAGGGGGGGAUGACGUCAAGUCAGCAUGGCCCUUACGCCCUGGGCGACACACACGCUACAAUGGCCGGGACAGCGGGCAGCCAAGCGGUAACGCGGAGCCAAUCCCUGCAAACCCGGUCUCAGUUCGGAUUGAGGGCUGCAACUCGCCCUCAUGAAGGCGGAGUUGCUAGUAACCGCCGGUCAGCCAUACGGCGGUGAAUAUGUUCCCGGGCCUUGUACACACCGCCCGU
rnacentral:rRNA from 1 species